rnacentral:rRNA from 1 species
GAUGAACGCUGGCGGCGUGCCUAAUACAUGCGAGUCGAGCGAACAGAUGAGGAGCUUGCUCCUCUGACGUUAGCGGCGGACGGGUGAGUAACACGUGGAUAACCUACCUAUAAGACUGGGAUAACUUCGGGAAACCGGAGCUAAUACCGGAUAAUAUAUUGAACCGCAUGGUUCAAUAGUGAAAGACGGUUUUGCUGUCACUUAUAGAUGGAUCCGCGCCGCAUUAGCUAGUUGGUAAGGUAACGGCUUACCAAGGCAACGAUGCGUAGCCGACCUGAGAGGGUGAUAGGCCACACUGGAACUGAGACACGGUCCAGACUCCUACGGGAGGCAGCAGUAGGGAAUCUUCCGCAAUGGGCGAAAGCCUGACGGAGCAACGCCGCGUGAGUGAUGAAGGUCUUCGGAUCGUAAAACUCUGUUAUUAGGGAAGAACAAAUGUGUAAGUAACUAUGCACGUCUUGACGGUACCUAAUCAGAAAGCCACGGCUAACUACGUG